AGUGGAAGCAAAGGGAUCUUGCUGGAGGUCCCUGCAUAUCUGAGGCUUUCUAAAGGUAAGCAGCUUCUUUAUUUCUGUGCAAAUCCUCACUUCCUGUAGCCUCAGACCUUGCUGCUCAGCUGUCAUUGCUGUGCUUUCUAUCACAUUACAUAGGCUUCUUGACUAAUUUACCUGCUGAAGGGAAGAAGACCAAAAAUUGCAGAAAGGCUGGGGUUAGUGCCAUAUUCUAACUGUACAAAGCCCACAUAUGACCAAUUCUAGUUUGGAAGUAUAGAAUGAAACUCUGGCCCAGCAAUAUCCAGUAGGAUAAACCACUGCAGCAGUGCAAAGUGUCCCAGUUUCAUGAGGCUGUGUAAGGAAUUGGUCAUGGAAUCAGGCAGACGACUGCUUUAUGAGCUUUUAUUGUUACUGAAGUGGCGAUGUUCUUCCCCUGCUGAAGUGAGAGCUGUUGUAGUUCUGCCUGGGAGAUGUCAAGGAUGUAGCAGAAGGGUCAUCUUUGCAUUAACCUACAUCCAAACAGACCUAAGUGAAACAGACAGCUGGGAACUCUGCAAAUAUAUGGAAGCACUGGGACACCACAGAAUUUGGGCUCAAGGCAUUAUUUGUUACUGGUGAAAUUACAGAGAAUGCCCAGUGUGGGUGGACUGGGGUGUAAAGUCUUCAUACAAAUUUCUAUCUUCCUUGCUGCUCUUAUGAUACCUGCCAACUGUGAUCUUAAUGUUGCCUUGCGGUUUUUAACUGUAGCCCCCUGUGAUGUGUAGCAGCUAUAAACCGCAUCACUGGCCACACAUCCCCACAGAGAGGUUGUGCCUUCAGUGUAUAACUUGAGCUCAGGGAAUGCUAUGCUUUGCUUUGUGAUGUGCCACAACCUGAAGUCUCUGCUUUUCCCAGUUUCUCUGUGUUACAUGUGAUGUAGUAGCAUAAUGUUCAGCUCCAUUCAUUCUCUUUUCUGAUGAUUCUUUUUGAAGUUGGCCUGACUUUGACAGAGCAAAUCUGGAACAUAUAGGGAAAGCUGUGAUAUGCCUUCUGCACUUCAACUUGUGGAUUGAUUCAUGUUGAGAUUCUAAAGAUUUUAAAAUUUAAAAUCAAAUUAAGGAAUAUGUGGUGCUUGGCAGUGAUACAUAGGGCUUGAAGAAUACAUUCAGUUGUGUUUAACUGCUAGACAAAUUUUCAGUUUUUGAUUUAAUGUCUAGAGCAUUGACAGGAAGAUUUGGCCCAGUACUUCCCCAUUUAGCUGUGCUAUUAGGCUACCAGACAGCAAUGAAAAACAGCAGGUAUUACCAUGUUAGUGGAAGGCAUCCUACAGCAGGAUUUGUUCUAGGAUGAAGCUGAACAAUGAAGAAGUAACAAUUUCUUGCCUGACUGAAAACUGCUGGUUAAAUUGGACUUAGCAGAAUGCAAAAAUCUCAUUCAUUUCUUGGGAGUAGAUGUCAAACUGUGUUCUUCUGACUGCAAGAAUCCCCAUGUUACUUAGCACUCAGCACAUGCAACAUUUUCCAUGGAAAAAUUUCUAACUUGCAGUGUAGGCAUGGCUUUAAAUGCUCUGACUGUCCAGAGAACAGUACCCUCUGAAGCUAUGAGUGAGACUCAUUUCUGUGUUGUUCAUCUUUCAUUA
ensembl:lncRNA